GACGUAGGGCGCGAGCGUUGUCCGGAUUUACUGGGCGUAAAGGGCUCGUAGGUGGCCAAUUAAGUCAGGUGUGAAAUCCCCAGGCUCAACUUGGGAACUGCGUCUGAUACUGGUUGGCUUGAAUUCGGGAGAGGGAUGCAGAAUUCCAGGUGUAGCGGUGAAAUGCGUAGAUAUCUGGAGGAAUACCGGUGGCGAAGGCGGCAUCCUGGACCGAGAUUGACACUGAGGAGCGAAAGCCAGGGGAGCAAACGGG
rnacentral:rRNA from 1 species